rnacentral:lncRNA from 1 species
UAAGAUUGUAUUUGUAAUUCAACAUGUAUUAGUAAGAGUAAAAUAUGAAGUAGGAGAUACGUACUCCUCGAUUAUUUCCUUGUUAAUCGUGUUCACAUAUUUCCGCAAUUAUAUCCAACACGACCAACUAACUCUUUCUUAGCUCGAAACUAAUGCCAAAGAGAAAGAAAACUUAAUAUAGUUCACAAUAUCCAACUGCAUGACUAGAUAUGGUUACAAAAGAAGAAAUGACAAUGUUGUUGUAGUCUCAAGGCUACUUGAUCAGGUCCAUUUGGACCUCCUCAUCGUAUGUCGUGUAAUUGUCUGCCAAAUUAUUAGUGGGCUUUAUGGGCCCUAUAGACUCUACAGGCCUCUGCCAAAUUAGCUCGGAUCACUACUCGACCCGAC